rnacentral:rRNA from 1 species
UACGAAGGGGGCGAGCGUUGUUCGGAUUUACUGGGCGUAAAGGGCGCGUAGGCGGCCUUGUCAGUCAGGCGUGAAAGCCCCGGGCUCAACCUGGGAACGGCGCUUGGGACGGCGAGGCUGGAGUUCGGGAGAGGAGAGUGGAAUUCCCAGUGUAGAGGUGAAAUUCGUAGAUAUUGGGAAGAACACCGGUGGCGAAGGCGGCUCUCUGGACCGACACUGACGCUGAGGCGCGAAAGCCAGGGGAGCGAACGGG